AUUUAUAUUGAAUUAAAACCUUAAAUGAUCGCUAUUCGCAUUCAGUGAAUCACGAACCAGUGCCGUAGCCCUACUGGUAAGAUACAAAAUGAAGCUUCCAGUAGUGACCGUUCUUAUGUUUGCCUGCCUUUUGGGGCUCGCACUCGGACAGUGGGGAGGUUAUGGAGGUACCAGUAGAGGUGGUUUUGGCGGUGGGGGAUUAUUGGCUCUUAUUGGACUCCUCUUCCUGCUUGUUGUUUUGUUCAAUUUCGAUUCAGAUAACGGCUCCGUAACCGUUUAUAAUGCUACAACUUUCCCCACUGCGACAUAAGCAUGAAAUACUGGAUGGGAGACGUUGUUUUGUUAUUAAUGUUACAAAGGAGAGAAUAAACACAUGGAGUGGGCGUGAUUAUUUACUGCACAGCAAUUGUUCAUGUUUUUUUUAAUUGUUCAUUUUUGUUCAUGGUUCCGUUUUUCGUCAAUAAAAUUGCAGGAUGUAUUUUUAAUAUA